rnacentral:rRNA from 1 species
GACGAACGCUGGCGGCGUGCUUAACACAUGCAAGUCGAACGAUGAAGCUGGAGCUUGCUCCGGUGGAUUAGUGGCGAACGGGUGAGUAACACGUUAGCAAUCUGCCCUUGACUCUGGGAUAACUGCGGGAAACUGUAGCUAAUACCGGAUACGAGACCUGAAGGCAUCUUCGGGUCUGGAAAGAAUUUCGGUCAAGGAUGAGCUCGCGGCCUAUCAGCUUGUUGGUGAGGUAAUGGCUCACCAAGGCGACGACGGGUAGCCGGCCUGGGAGGGUGACCGGCCACACGGGGACUGGGACACGGCCCAGACUCCUACGGGAGGCAGCAGUGGGGAAUAUUGCACAAUGGGCGAAAGCCUGAUGCAGCAACGCCGCGUGAGGGAUGAAGGCCUUCGGGUUGUAAACCUCUUUUAGCAGGGAAGAAGCGAAAGUGACGGUACCUGCAGAAAAAGCACCGGCUAACUACGUGCCAGCCGCCGCUGUAA